UGGGCAGGUAGAGAAUACUAAGGUGUAUGAGAUAACCAUGGUUAAGGAACUCGGCAAAUUGCAUCCGUAACUUCGGGAUAAGGAUGACCUCAUGGGUUUAUAGCCUAAUGAGGUGGCACAAACUAGGGGGGAGCGACUGUUUACUAAAAACACAGCAGGGUGCUAAGUCGUAAGACGAUGUAUACCCUGUGACGCCUGCCCGGUGCUGGAAGGUUACGGGGACCGGUUAGCUGUAAAGCGAAGCUGUGAACCUAAGCCCCAGUAAACGGCGGCCGUAACUAUAACGGUCCUAAGGUAGCGAAAUUCCUUGUCGGGUAAGUUCCGACCUGCACGAAUGGCGUAACGACUCCCCUACUGUCUCAACCAUGGACUCAGCGAAAUUGAAGUACGAGUAAAGAUGCUCGUUAGCUACAGAAGGACGGAAAGACCCCGUGGACCUUUACUAUAGCUUGAUAUUGGUGUUUGAUUUGCGUUGUGUAGGAUAGGUGGGAGACUAGGAAGUCGGAGCGCUAGCUUCGGUGGAGUCAACCUUGAAAUACCACCCUGCGUACGUUGACCAUCUAACCUUGGACCGUGAUCCGGUUCGGGGACAGUGUCAGGUGGGUAGUUUGACUGGGGCGGUCGCCUCCUAAAGAGUAACGGAGGCGUUCAAAGGUUCCCUCAGACUGGUUGGCAAUCAGUCUUCGAGUGCAAUGGCAUAAGGGAGCUUGACUGCGAGACCUACAAGUCGAGCAGGUACGAAAGUAGGACAUAGUGAUCCGGCGGUUGCGUGUGGAAGCGCCGUCGCUCAACGGAUAAAAGGUACCCCGGGGAUAACAGGCUAAUCUUUCCCAAGAGUCCAUAUCGACGGAAAGGUUUGGCACCUCGAUGUCGGCUCAUCGCAUCCUGGGGCUGAAGCAGGUCCCAAGGGUUGGGCUGUUCGCCCAUUAAAGCGGUACGCGAGCUGGGUUUAGAACGUCGUGAGACAGUUCGGUCCCUAUCCUCUGUAGCCGGAAGAGAUUUGAGGAAAGCUGCCCCUAGUACGAGAGGACCGGGGUGGACGAAGCUCUCGUGUGCCAGUUGUCCUGCCAAGGGCAUGGCUGGUUGGCGACCUUCGGACGGGAUAACCGCUGAAAGCAUCUAAGUGGGAAGCCCAUUCCAAGAUGAGAUCUCUCACUGGGUUAACCAGGUAAGGCCCGUGGAAGAACACCACGUUGAUAGGCCGGAAGUGUACGCACGGUAACGUGUUUAGCUGACCGGUACUAAUCGGCCGAGGGCUUGAUUAA
rnacentral:rRNA from 1 species